UACGAAGGGUGCAAGCGUUACUCGGAAUUACUGGGCGUAAAGCGUGCGUAGGUGGUUUGUUAAGUCUGUUGUGAAAGCCCCGGGCUCAACCUGGGAAUGGCAAUGGAUACUGGCAGGCUAGAGUGCGGUAGAGGGUAGUGGAAUUCCGGUGUAGCGGUGAAAUGCGUAGGAUAUCGGGAGGAACACCUGUGGCGAAAGUGGCUCACUGGACCAUAACUGACGCUGGAUGCACGAAAGCUGGGGGAGCAAACAGG
rnacentral:rRNA from 1 species